CUCUCUUUUUUUUAGAAAUAUAAGGAUAGAAAGAUAGAAAGAUUGAAAGAUAAAAAGAUAAAAUGAAGAGAUAGAAAGAUAAAAAGAUAAAAAGAUAAAAAGAUAGAAAGAAAAAAAUAAAAAGAUAGAAAGAUAGGAGGAUAGAAAGAAAAAAAUUAAAAAAGAUAGAAAGAUAGAAGGAUAGAAAGAUAGAAAGAUAAAAAAAAAAAAUAAAAUUAAAAAGGUAACAAGAUAAAAAAG
rnacentral:lncRNA from 1 species